UAGGGAAUCUUCCACAAUGGGCGAAAGCCUGAUGGAGCAACGCCGCGUGUGUGAUGAAGGCUUUAGGGUCGUAAAGCACUGUUGUAUGGGAAGAAAUGCUAGAAUAGGGAAUGAUUCUAGUUCGACGGUACCAUACCAGAAAGGGACGGCUAAAUACGUGCCAGCAGCCGCGGUAAUACGUAUGUCCCGAGCGUUAUCCGGAUUUAUUGGGCGUAAAGCGAGCGCAGACGGUUGAUUAAGUCUGAUGUGAAAGCCCGGAGCUCAACUCCGGAAUGGCAUUGGAAACUGGUUAACUUGAGUGUUGUAGAGGUAAGUGGAACUCCAUGUGUAGCGGUGGAAUGCGUAGAUAUAUGGAAGAACACCAGUGGCGAAGGCGGCUUACUGGACAACAACUGACGUUGAGGCUCGAAAGUGUGGGUAGCAAACAGGAUUAGAUACCCUGGUAGUCCACACCGUAAACGAUGAAUACUAGGUGUUAGGAGGUUUCCGCCUCUUAGUGCCGAAGCUAACGCAUUAAGUAUUCCGCCUGGGGAGUACGACCGCAAGGUUGAAACUCAAAGGAAUUGACCGGGACCCGCACAAGCGGUGGAGCAUGUGGUUUAAUUCGA
rnacentral:rRNA from 1 species